rnacentral:rRNA from 1 species
AUUGAACGCUGGCGGCAUGCCUUACACAUGCAAGUCGAACGGUAACAGGUCUUCGGAUGCUGACGAGUGGCGAACGGGUGAGUAAUACAUCGGAACGUGCCCGAUCGUGGGGGAUAACGGAGCGAAAGCUUUGCUAAUACCGCAUACGAUCUACGGAUGAAAGUGGGGGACCGAAAGGCCUCGCGCGAUUGGAGCGGCCGAUGUCAGAUUAGGUAGUUGGUGGGGUAAAGGCCCACCAAGCCAACGAUCUGUAGCUGGUCUGAGAGGACGACCAGCCACACUGGGACUGAGACACGGCCCAGACUCCUACGGGAGGCAGCAGUGGGGAAUUUUGGACAAUGGGCGCAAGCCUGAUCCAGCAAUGCCGCGUGCAGGAAGAAGGCCUUCGGGUUGUAAACUGCUUUUGUACGGAACGAAACGGUCCGGGUUAAUACCCUGGGCUAAUGACGGUACCGUAAGAAUAAGCACCGGCUAACUACGUGCCAGCAGCCGCAGUAAAAC